CCUACGGGAGGCAGCAGUGGGGAAUAUUGCACAAUGGGGGAAACCCUGAUGCAGCGACGCCGCGUGAGUGAAGAAGUAUUUCGGUAUGUAAAGCUCUAUCAGCAGGGAAGAAAAUGACGGUACCUGAUUAAUAAGCCCCGGCUAACUACGUGCCAGCAGCCGCGGUAAUACGUAGGGGGCAAGCGUUAUCCGGAUUUACUGGGUGUAAAGAGAGCGUAGACGGCAGCACAAGUCUGGAGUGAAAUGCCGGGACUUAACCCCGGAACUGCUUUGGAAACUGUGCAGCUAGAGUGCAGGAGAGGGAGGUGGAAUUCCUGGUGUAGGGGUGAUAUGCGUAGAGAUUAGGAGGAACACCAGUGGCGAAGGCGGCUUACUGGACUGUAACUGACGUUGAGGCUCGAAAGCGUGGGGAGCAAACAGGAUUAGAUACCCGGGUAGUC
rnacentral:rRNA from 1 species